CCCCUGGUCCCCCCAGCCAGGACAGGGCAGGCACACCCCAGCUGGACAGAGCCAAAUUAUUCCAAAGCUGGGCUGAGAGUUUGCAGGAGAGCUGGUUUGCCUGGAGACAGAAACCAGAGCAUGGGUCACAAAUUGAACUCCACCUUCCCUGUGCCACCUGCGCCGUGCUUGGCGCCACGAGCUGGCCCUGCCCAGCUGAGGGUCACUGCCGGGCUCAGAGCAGCUGGAGCCCCCCCGUCUCUCUGUCUCUGUCACAGUUCCUCACAAAUUCAAUGGCACAAUGCAGCUACACUAUUUGAAAAGCCAUAAUAUUUGUUGGUACAACUCUUUUAUUACUGUCGAUUUAUAUAUAUAUUUGUUGAUAAAAGAGGUCAUCUUGGGAGACACUUCCAGUCUACUGGGAAAUAAUUGUCCGAUGCUGUAUAUUCUGUACAUGCUGUAUAAACAAAGCAAAAUAUGUAAAUCUAGAUGUUGGUGGACUCGGUGGCACUGCUGCAGGGGGAUUGGGACCAGGCACGGCCACCGUGGCUCGGGGCUGCCAGCUGGGUCCUGGUCACGGCCCGGGGCAGGGCCUGGCCAUGGUGCACGGGCAGCCUGCGGCUCCCUCGGUGCUUUCCCCACACAAAAUGCUGUCCGAAGGCAUUUCACGCUGCCUCCUUCCCAAGGUGACCGGGGGCGGCCUGGGGAGCAAGCGUGGCCGCCUCGGCCUCCCUGCGGGGCACGGUGCAGGGCCGGGCAUGGCACAGGGCAUGGCGCAAGGCCGGGCAUGGCGGCACAGGGCCGGGCAUGGCACAGGGCCGGGCCCAUCGGGAGCUCGCAGCCCGCCCGGGUGGUGCCGGCCACCCGCUCCCAGCCCAGGACUUCUCUGAGCCUUGGGGUCCGAGGGAGACCCUUCCCCAGGGAGGGCGGCCGGUGAGGGCAGGGACUGGCUUCGGGCAUUCCAGCUCCUUCCCACACCAAGCCAGCCGCCCUCCCUGCCGUGACCUCCUAACCUGACACACGCCGUCAGAAAACCUGUUUCAUAUUCUCCGUGCUAUCAAUCUACAACUUUUGAAAUUAUUGGACACAGUCGUGGUAGCCUAAAAGUUGUGCUGAGCUCAUAUAUUUUUAUAUUUGUGGUGUUUUCCUAUCAAUAGAGAGUAGUGAACCCUAUAGCUGAAAGUGAACUAUUCAAAAUAAAUAUAUGACUGCAGAAAAUAUUUGUAAAAAUAAUUUAUUUUAAAUAUUCUGCCAAAGAUAGCUCUCUAAUGAUCUGUAAGAUGUCGUUUCUCUCUUUUUGCUCUGAAUGUCAUUGUGAAAGGACCUUUCUCCCCAUAUCUUUUGAAGAUUUUUUUUUUUUGUAUCUUUAAGGGCAAAGAAAUAUUCCAGUGAUUUUUUUACUAGAGCAGUAAAUAGAAUAGUAGGGAGGCACGAGACAACUCUGCAAAGGUGAUAAACAGGAUCCAGUAAGAAUCACUCUGAGCUCCGGUUUCUCCCGUAGUUCCUCUGGCUGACAGACGGGUUGGAAGCCUGGGCCAGCUGUCCAGCAGGAAGACCUUGGCUGCUGCUGCUGCUGUGGCUGCUGUGUGGCUUACCCAAAGGGGAGAAAUCUCCCGAGAACCCCUUCCCCUGGCUUGGGGCAUUUGGAUCCCCUUGCAUCCAAUCUUAGCCUCUUCAUUAUGUGUGGGCAUGAUUUAUUUAUUAGCCCUGAAUAGGCCCCGUGGCACAUGGGGAACCCUCACCCGGAGCUCUGUGGGGCUUCAGUCCAAAGCCAUUCCCUCCCUGCUGCUGCCAGCAGCCCUGAACCAUGGCACAGGGAAUCCUGCUGGCAUGCAGGCCUGCCCCUGCCUCACCUGGGGACGGGGCAGGGGACACCCAGCCACCAGGGCAUGCUUCAGCAAGAGGAUCCAUCCCUGCAGGUAUCCAGCCAAAACAGGGGAAGUACAGCCUUUUACCGUGGAGAAGCUGCCUAGACCAGCCUUUGAGAAAUGACUAGACUUUUAUUUUUUGUUGUAGAAAAAAAUCUUUCUCUUCUUCAUUUCUCCCUUUUGAAAGAACUUUUCAAUACUAGGGAAAACCUUCAUUAUCUUCUGUGAUCCCCAGGUCUGCUGCGAUGGAAAUAAAUCCUCAGCCACCUCUGUUAGGCUCCACCACUUCAAAGAGAUUUUUGGCUCAGAUUUUUUUCCCUUCUGAGCAAAUUCACAAUUUCUUAAACGUCUUGGUCAUAAAGGUCUGGAGGAAUUAACUGGUAAAAAAAGAAAUCAAAGCCCUGUUCCAGUGAAUGUGUUUCCACAAGCAAUUCAGCUUUUGAUUCCCCCAAAGUCAGGCAUGUGUGUAAGUGUUUUUUUGGGAACGGAGGUGGGAAAAGCCGUUUCCAAGCCAUAGGUGUGAUGGGUGUGGUGGGAGCACUGCUGCCAUGGGGCGUGGGGGGCACACGGCAGCCCUGGGGAGAGCCUGCCAGGGGUCUUUGUUCCUCUGGGCUCUCUGAACCCCGGCAGGGAAACGCACGUGAGCCAGGGAAAGACAAUGGUGAGAAGAAUUGGGUUUCUGAUCACUGUGCAUUUUGUUAAUUAGUGAAUUCAAAUAGUUUUAUUUUUACCAAAAACAGAUAAUCUUUAUUCCAGUAAAGACAACUGUUGACUUGAGAUAUAUAUAAAAAUAUAUAUAUAUAUAUUAUUUGAAUGGUUUAUAUCCUGUUGCUCUAACUACAUGAAAUGGAAACAUGUUGCAAGUUGUGUCAUUUCAAUAUACAAAAUAAAUGACUUUUCCCUGCAUGCUGCCUGGGUAUGUUGUGAUUUGAAUUAAGAGUUAUAUUUGAAUUGCCUUAUUCAAGAGGUUGUAUGUUACCUAACUGGGGAAUGACCUGGCACUGUUCAUCACAUUACAUGUGUACUCGAUGCUGUGUUUUGUCAAAUUCAGAUGAGUUGUCUGUCAUCUAUGUAUUUUGUGGGAGAUCUUUUAUCUUGUUAAACUGUGAUAUGUAAACCUUCAUUGCCUGAAAUAGUCACAGUUGUAUAAAUCAGUGUCUUCAGCUGUUUUCCUAAUUUUAACACAAUUCCUAACACAAAAUAUAGAUGUUUGUAAAU
rnacentral:lncRNA from 1 species